rnacentral:rRNA from 1 species
GCAGACGGGUGAGUAACAUGUAGGUAUCUGCCCUUUGGCCUGGAAUAACACGAGGAAACUUGUGCUAAUACCGGAUAAGUCUUUACAGAGAAAGCUUUAUGCACCAUUGGAUGAGCCUGCACUUGAUUAGUUUGUUGGUGGGGUAAUGGCCUACCAAGACUAUGAUCAAUAGCUGAUUUGAGAGGAUGAUCAGCCACAUUGGGACUGAGACACGGCCCAAACUCCUACGGGAGGCAGCAGUGGGGAAUCUUGCACAAUGGAGGAAACUCUGAUGCAGCGAUGCCGCGUGAGUGAAGAAGGCCCUUGGGUUGUAAAGCUCUUUCGUCGGGGAAGAAAACGACUGUACCCGAAUAAGAAGGUCCGGCUAACUUCGUGCCAGCAGCCGCGGUAAUACGAAGGGACCUAGCGUAGUUCGGAAUUACUGGGCUUAAAGAGUUCGUAGGUGGUUGAAAAAGUUGGUGGUGAAAUCCCAGAGCUUAACUCUGGAACUGCCAUCCAAACUUUUCAGCU